CUGCGUACAACAACACGUUAGUCACAUUACCAAACAAACAUUAUGUUAAUUGUGGCAUAAAUUCAGGCUUCAGCACAAAAACACAAUUUUUAAUCAUCCACUGUUUGUUGAACUUGAUAACCUGCAGCAAAGACAAUUAGACCCACCGACAGUCAACACAGCCACAUCGUCAUGGAGACAAACAGUGGAAUAACUUAACCUUUUGGCACAAAAGAGGAAGAACUGAGCAAACAUGAGGGGGACAAAAAGUUUGAAAGAAAUCGAAGACGAAGUGUCCUUUCAGAGUCGGUGAACACAGACUCCUCCUGACACGGACUUCCACUCUCCACAUUCCAGCAGUUCAGAUCAAAUUCUACUGGAGACUUUAAACAUCUUUGUCCUGUAACUGUGAGAGAUGUUCAGGUGUGCCGUGACAGAUGUUCAGGUGUGCCGUGACAGAUGUUCAGGUGUGCCGUGACAGAUGUUCAGGUGUGCCGUAGGAAAUUAUUCAUUUUCACUGAUCUAAAAACAUUUUCUAUCUAUUGUCCAGCAUCAGUUUUUGCACUGCAUCUCCCACAAUGCACUGGGUUAAAGUAACAGCACUUCUGUCCUAUGCUACUAAAAUGAA